rnacentral:rRNA from 1 species
GACGAACGCUGGCGGCGUGCUUAACACAUGCAAGUCGAACGGAAAGGCCCUGCUUUUGUGGGGUGCUCGAGUGGCGAACGGGUGAGUAACACGUGAGUAACCUGCCCUUGACUUUGGGAUAACUUCAGGAAACUGGGGCUAAUACCGGAUAGGAGCUCCUGCUGCAUGGUGGGGGUUGGAAAGUUUCGGCGGUUGGGGAUGGACUCGCGGCUUAUCAGCUUGUUGGGGGGGUAGUGGUUUACCAAGGCUUUGACGGGUAGCCGGCCUGAGAGGGUGACCGGCCACAAUAGGACUGAGGGACGGCCCAGACUGCUACGGGAGGCAGAAGUGGGGAAUAUUGCAGAAUGGGCGGAAGUCUGAUGCAGCAACGCCGCGUGCGGGAUGACGGCUUACGGGUUGUAAACCGCUUUCGACUGUGACGAAGCGUGAGUGACGGUAACGGGUAAAAAAGCACCGGCUAACUACGUG